rnacentral:rRNA from 1 species
CAGUGGCGAACGGGUGAGUAACACGUGAGCAAUCUGCCCCUGACUCUGGGAUAAGCGCUGGAAACGGCGUCUAAUACCGGAUACGAACUGCGAAGGCAUCUUCAGCAGUUGGAAAGAAUUUCGGUCAGGGAUGAGCUCGCGGCCUAUCAGCUUGUUGGUGAGGUAAUGGCUCACCAAGGCGUCGACGGGUAGCCGGCCUGAGAGGGUGACCGGCCACACUGGGACUGAGACACGGCCCAGACUCCUACGGGAGGCAGCAGUGGGGAAUAUUGCACAAUGGGCGCAAGCCUGAUGCAGCAACGCCGCGUGAGGGACGACGGCCUUCGGGUUGUAAACCUCUUUUAGCAGGGAAGAAGCGAAAGUGACGGUACCUGCAGAAAAAGCGCCGGCUAACUACGUGCCAGCAGCCGCGGUAAUACGUAGGGCGCAAGCGUUAUCCGGAAUUAUUGGGCGUAAAGAGCUCGUAGGCGGUUUGUCGCGUCUGCUGUGAAAUCCCGAGGCUCAACCUCGGGUCUGCAGUGGGUACGGGCAGACUAGAGUGCGGUAGGGGAGAUUGGAAUUCCUGGUGUAGCGGUGGAAUGCGCAGAUAUCAGGAGGAACACCGAUGGCGAAGGCAGAUCUCUGGGCCGUAACUGACGCUGAGGAGCGAAAGGGUGGGGAGCAAACAGGCUUAGAUACCCUGGUAGUCCACCCCGUAAACGUUGGGAACUAGUUGUGGGGUCCAUUCCACGGAUUCCGUGACGCAGCUAACGCAUUAAGUUCCCCGCCUGGGGAGUACGGCCGCAAGGCUAAAACUCAAAGGAAUUGACGGGGACCCGCACAAGCGGCGGAGCAUGCGGAUUAAUUCGAUGCAACGCGAAGAACCUUACCAAGGCUUGACAUAUACGAGAACGGGCCAGAAAUGGUCAACUCUUUGGACACUCGUAAACAGGUGGUGCAUGGUUGUCGUCAGCUCGUGUCGUGAGAUGUUGGGUUAAGUCCCGCAACGAGCGCAACCCUCGUUCUAUGUUGCCAGCACGUAAUGGUGGGAACUCAUGGGAUACUGCCGGGGUCAACUCGGAGGAAGGUGGGGAUGACGUCAAAUCAUCAUGCCCCUUAUGUCUUGGGCUUCACGCAUGCUACAAUGGCCGGUACAAAGGGCUGCAAUACCGUAAGGUGGAGCGAAUCCCAAAAAGCCGGUCCCAGUUCGGAUUGAGGUCUGCAACUCGACCUCAUGAAGUCGGAGUCGCUAGUAAUCGCAGAUCAGCAACGCUGCGGUGAAUACGUUCCCGGGUCUUGUACACACCGCCCGUCAAGUCAUGAAAGU